AUCAUAAUUUAUAUAUUAUUAACUAUGACAUUUACAAAUACAGUUAAUCUAUGUAGUCUCAACGUAAACGGAAUUAAUUCAAGAGAAAAAAGAAAUAGAGUUAUAGAAUGGGUUACCGCUCAAAAAAGUGUCAUAAGUUUUUUGCAAGAAACACAUUUUGAUGAAAUUAUCGAAAGGGAUAUAAAUAGUAAAACAGAAUAUGAUGCGUUUUGUAGUCAUGGUACUACGGCUAGUAGGGGUGUAGCUAUCUUAAUUAAAAAAUCAUUAAGCUACGAACUAAUUAAUAAAUUUAUUGAUAGGGACGGAAGAUUAGUGCUUAUCAAUGUGCAAAUGAAUAAUUCAAUUUUUACAUUUAUUAAUGUAUAUGCACCUAACUGUAAAACAUCUAGAAAUUCUUUCUUUAAAAAAGUCAGCGAUAAUUUAAAGGAACACGGUCUAGGAAUAGCAAUACUUGGGG
rnacentral:lncRNA from 1 species